ACUAACAAGGAUUCCCCUAGUAACUGCGAGUGAAGCGGGAAAAGCUCAAAUUUAAAAUCUGGCAGUCUUUGACUGUCCGAGUUGUAAUCUAGAGAAGCAUUAUCCGCGCUGGACCGUGUACAAGUCUCCUGGAAUGGAGCGUCAUAGAGGGUGAGAAUCCCGUCUUUGACACGGACUGCCAGGGCUUUGUGAUGUGCUCUCAAAGAGUCGAGUUGUUUGGGAAUGCAGCUCAAAAUGGGUGGUAAAUUCCAUCUAAAGCUAAAUAUUGGCGAGAGACCGAUAGCGAACAAGUACCGUGAGGGAAAGAUGAAAAGAACUUUGGAAAGAGAGUUAAACAGUACGUGAAAUUGCUGAAAGGGAAACGCUUGAAGUCAGUCGCGUUGGCCAGGAAUCAACCUUGCUUUUUUUUGCUUGGCUUACUUCCUGGUUAAUGGGUCAGCAUCAAUUUUGACUGGUGGAAAAAGUUCAAGGGAAUGUGGCAUCUUCGGAUGUGUUAUAGCCUUUGCUCGCAUACAUCAGUUGGGAUUGAGGAACUCAGCACGCCGCAAGGCCGGGUUUUUAACCACGUACGUGCUUAGGAUGCUGGCAUAAUGGCUUUAAUCGACCCGUCUUGAAACACGGACCAAGGAGUCUAACAUGCCUGCGAGUGUUUGGGUGGAAAACCCGAGCGCGUAAUGAAAGUGAAAGUUGAGAUCCCUGUCGUGGGGAGCAUCGACGCCCGGAUCUGACCUUUUGUGACGAUUCCGCGGUAGAGCAUGUAUGUUGGGACCCGAAAGAUGGUGAACUAUGCCUGAAUAGGGUGAAGCCAGAGGAAACUCUGGUGGAGGCUCGUAGCGAUUCUGACGUGCAAAUCGAUCGUCAAAUUUGGGUAUAGGGGCGAAAGACUAAUCGAACCAUCUAGUAGCUGGUC
rnacentral:rRNA from 1 species